rnacentral:rRNA from 1 species
UGGGGAAUCUUCCGCAAUGGACGAAAGUCUGACGGAGCAACGCCGCGUGAGUGAAGAAGGUUUUCGGAUCGUAAAACUCUGUCUUUUGGGGCGAACGUGAGUAUGGUGAACAAUCAUAGUCAGUGACGGUACCAAAGGAGGAAGCCACGGCUAACUACGUGCCAGCAGCCGCGGUAAUACGUAGGUGGCAAGCGUUGUCCGGAAUUAUUGGGCGUAAAGAGCGCGUAGGCGGGAUAGUCAGUCUGUUGUAAAGUGCGGGGCUCAACCCCGUGAUGGCAAUGGAAACAGCUAUUCUUGAGUGCAGGAGAGGAAAGUGGAAUUCCCAGUGUAGCGGUGAAAUGCGUAGAUAUUGGGAGGAACACCAGUGGCGAAGGCGACUUUCUGGACUGUGUCUGACGCUGAGGCGCGAAAGCCAGGGGGAGCGAACGGGAUUAGAUACCCCCGGUAGUCCUGGCCGUAAACGAUGGGUACUAGGUGUGGGAGGUAUCGACCCCUUCCGUGCCGGAGUUAACGCAAUAAGUACCCCGCCU